GUCCCUGUAGCACAAAGGAUGGCGUGUUGGACUUCUGGUCCAAAGGUCAUGGGUUUAAAUACCAGCUGGGAUG